GACGGAGGGUGCAAACGUUGUUCGGAAUUACUGGGCGUAAAGCGCGUGUAGGCGGCUUGGCAAGUCGGGUGUGAAAGCCCUGGGCUCAACCUAGGAAGUGCACUCGAAACUGCUUCGCUUGAGUGUCGGAGAGGAAAGCGGAAUUCUCGGUGUAGAGGUGAAAUUCGUAGAUAUCGAGAGGAACACCGGUGGCGAAGGCGGCUUUCUGGACGAUGACUGACGCUGAGACGCGAAAGCGUGGGGAGCAAACAGG
rnacentral:rRNA from 1 species